UAGAGACUCAUUCUACAAGGAUGUUUGUCAAAGGCCAAGCCUGAUCACUAAAUCUCUACAAAGCAGAAGGCAAAAAUCACCAUAAAUUCAAAAACAAAAACUGUUCCACAAAUACUGUGAGAAUGAGGAGAAUUGUGGAAAAUAAUGACUUCAGAUUACUGGAUACACUUGAGGCAGUGGGCUGCACACAGACAGGCUGGUCUCCAGUCAAGCAAAGAUCUAGAACCCCAGUGGACCCAAUGGAU
rnacentral:lncRNA from 1 species